AUUGAACGCUGGCGGCAUGCCUUACACAUGCAAGUCGAACGGCAGCACGGGAGCAAUCCUGGUGGCGAGUGGCGAACGGGUGAGUAAUAUAUCGGAACGUGCCCGGUCGUGGGGGAUAACGUAGCGAAAGCUACGCUAAUACCGCAUACGAUCUACGGAUGAAAGCGGGGGAUCGCAAGACCUCGCGCGAUUGGAGCGGCCGAUAUCAGAUUAGGUAGUUGGUGAGGUAAAGGCUCACCAAGCCGACGAUCUGUAGCUGGUCUGAGAGGACGACCAGCCACACUGGGACUGAGACACGGCCCAGACUCCUACGGGAGGCAGCAGUGGGGAAUUUUGGACAAUGGGCGCAAGCCUGAUCCAGCAAUGCCGCGUGCAGGAUGAAGGCCUCGGU
rnacentral:rRNA from 1 species